rnacentral:snRNA from 1 species
AGCUUUGCACAGUGGCAGUAUCAUAGCCAAUGAGGUUUAUCCGAGGUGCGAUUAUUGCUAAUUGAAAACAAAACAUAAGCCGUGCGUGAUGACUGGCACCUGUCCCAGCUACUCAGGAAGCUGA